rnacentral:rRNA from 1 species
UCAAGCUGAAAAGAGCGCAAGGGGAAUGCCUUGGCAUCAGGAGCCGACGAAGGACGUGACAAGCUGCGAUAAGCCACGGGGAGGAGCAAAUAUCCGAUAUAUCCGUGGAUUUCCGAAUGGGGGAACCCGCUCAAGCAAUACUUGAGCAUCGUGCGUUGAAUCAAAUAGGCGUACGAAGGGAACGGCCUGAACUGAAACAUCUAAGUAGGGCCAGGAAAAGACAUCAACCGAGAUUCCGCUAGUAGUGGCGAGCGAACGCGGAGAAGGCCAAACCGAGGGACGCAAGUUCUUCGGGGUUGCGGACAGACAUCAAGACCAGAGGUAAUUAAGAGAACGGCGUGGGAAAGCCGGCCAUAGAAGGUGAGAGCCCUGUAUCUGAAAAUGAAGACUGGCAGUCUGGAUCCAGAGUACCGCGGGACACGUGAAACCCCGUGGGAAACCGGGUGGACCACCAUCCAAGCCUAAAUACUACCUGAUGACCGAUAGAGGAGCAGUACCGUGAGGGAAAGGUGAAAAGGACCCCGGGAGGGGAGUGAAAGAGAACCUGAAACCUUGUGCUUACAAGCAGUCAGAGCACGUUAACGUGUGAUGGCGUACUUUUUGUAGAACGGUCCGGCGAGUUAUAGUAACGAGCAAGCUUAAGGUAUUCAGUACCGGAGGCGAAGCGAAAGCGAGUCUGAAUAGGGCGCAUGAAGUUCGUUGCCAUAGACCCGAAACCGGGUGACCUACGCAUGAGCAGGUUGAAGUGGGGGUGAAACCCCAUGGAGGACCGAACCAACCCCCGUUGCAAUGGUGGUGGAUGACUUGUGUGUAGCGGUGAAAUUCCAAUCGAACUCGGAGAUAGCUGGUUCUCCCCGAAAUAGCUUUAGGGCUAGCGUUAGUUUAGAUUACCGGAGGUAAAGCACUGAAUGGUUUAGGGGCUGAUAAAGUUACCGACGCCUAUCAAACUCUGAAUGCCGGAUAAUUGAUGACUAGCAGUCAGACAGUGUGAGAUAAGUUUCAUUGUCAAAAGGGAAACAGCCCAGACCUACAGCUAAGGUCCCAAAUGUAUGCUAAGUGGAAAACGAUGUGGAAUUGCGAAAACAACCAGGAUGUUGGCUUAGAAGCAGCCACACAUUAAAAGAGUGCGUAAUAGCUCACUGGUCGAGUGACUCUGCGCGGAAAAUGUAACGGGGCUAAGCAUACAACCGAAGCUUAGGAUUGUCUAAAGACAGUGGUAGGGGAGCGUUCUGUAUGGGGUGAAGUCGCAGCGAGAGCAGCGGUGGACUGUACAGAAGUGAGAAUGCCGGAAUGAGUAGCGAGAAUUAUGUGGGAAUCAUAAUGGCCGAAAAUCUAAGGUUUCUUGGGGAAGGUUCGUCCGCCCAAGGUAAGUCGGGAGCUAAGCUCAGGCCGAGAGGCGUAGGCGAUGCACAUACGGUAGAAAUUCCGUAACCACCGAACUUUAAGCAUGAGGGACACUUUGAGAUAGCGGAACCCGGGCGUUGGUUGACCCGGGCGAAAGGGACCGAAAUAUAGUAGGGAAGUCCGCGAUGCUUGGAGGCGAGAAAAGCUCAUGUGUAUACUAAGGUGCCCGUACCGCAAACCGACACAGGUAGAUGAGGAGAGAAUCCUAAGGCCAACGGGAGAAGGGUUGUUAAGGAACUCGGCAAAUUGACCCCGUAACUUCGGAAGAAGGGGAGCCCCGAAAGGGGCCGCAGUGAAUAGGCCCAAGCAACUGUUUACCAAAAACACAGGUUUAUGCUAAAUCGAAAGAUGACGUAUAUGAGCUGACGCCUGCCCGGUGCCGGAAGGUUAAGAGGAGAUGUCAACCGCAAGGUGAAGCAUUGAAUUGAAGCCCCGGUAAACGGCGGCCGUAACUAUAACGGUCCUAAGGUAGCGAAAUUCCUUGUCAGGUAAGUUCUGACCCG